GACGAACGCUGGCGGCGUGCCUAACACAUGCAAGUCGAACGGAACUUCUUUAAAGGAUUUCUUCGGAAUGAAUUUGAUUAAGUUUAGUGGCGGACGGGUGAGUAACGCGUGAGUAACCUGCCUCUAAGAGGGGAAUAACAUUCUGAAAAGAAUGCUAAUACCGCAUAAUAUAUAUUUAUCGCAUGGUAGAUAUAUCAAAAGAUUUAUCGCUUAGAGAUGGACUCGCGUCCGAUUAGUUAGUUGGUGAGGUAACGGCGUCACCAAGACCGCGAUCGGUAGCCGGACUGAGAGGUUGAACGGCCACAUUGGGACUGAGACACGGCCCAGACUCCUACGGGAGGCAGCAGUGGGGGAUAUUGCGCAAUGGGGGAAACCCUGACGCAGCAACGCCGCGUGAAGGAUGAAGGUCUUCGGAUUGUAAACUUCUUUAUUAAGGACGAAGAAAGUGACGGUACUAAUGAAUAAGCUCGGCUAACUACGUGCCAGCAGCCGCGGUAAU
rnacentral:rRNA from 1 species